rnacentral:rRNA from 1 species
UGGGGAAUAUUGCACAAUGGGCGCAAGCCUGAUGCAGCCAUGCCGCGUGUGUGAAGAAGGCCUUCGGGUUGUAAAGCACUUUCAGCGGGGAGGAAGGCGUUAAGGUUAAUAACCUUGGCGAUUGACGUUACCCGCAGAAGAAGCACCGGCUAACUCCGUGCCAGCAGCCGCGGUAAUACGGAGGGUGCAAGCGUUAAUCGGAAUUACUGGGCGUAAAGCGCACGCAGGCGGUCUGUCAAGUCGGAUGUGAAAUCCCCGGGCUCAACCUGGGAACUGCAUUCGAAACUGGCAGGCUAGAGUCUUGUAGAGGGGGGUAGAAUUCCAGGUGUAGCGGUGAAAUGCGUAGAGAGCUGGAGGAAUACCGGUGGCGAAGGCGGCCCCCUGGACAAAGACUGACGCUCAGGUGCGAAAGCGUGGGGAGCAAACAGG